rnacentral:lncRNA from 1 species
AGAUGGAAAUGGCCAACACCCGCGCUAUGUUAAUCUGCUUCUUUAUUGGACAACCCACUGACGACAUAACCCCGCCAAACUCGAACAUGAACAAAACCUCCACUGCAUCUAUUUGAGCACCUUGAUCAGAGAGAGAUUCAAUCUGGCAUGGUAAAUCAACACGUUUCGGCUUGUUUCUUUUGAAAAACGACAUUUUUUACAACUAGCAUCUCAGUAGUUUGAAAUGGAUUAUCAACGCCGUAUUACCUCAUAUCCUUUGAGAAUACUUUGCUUUUUUAAUCUGGUUUGUUCUGUGUUGUUGUCUAGCUGUCCUCCUACCUGUGACUCAGGCUUCAUCAUUAACAAGUGUAAGUGUGUCCCUUGUCCCGAUGGCUACUACUGGUACAAGCUUAAUGGCCGUCCUAAGUGUGACUUCUGUACUGAAGCCUGCUCAGUUGAUCGGCACUUGACACAGGUGAAGGAAUGCCGCCGGGACUCAAACCGGGAGUGCCACUGUGACAGGGGCUUUUUCUGUGCCAGCACUGCCCAGUAUACCUGCAGGAGGUGUAAACCGUGCGUGUCUGGCACCUUCUCCAACACAGCAAACCUAGCCACGUCCUGCAAACCCCACACAGUUUGUGGCCAUAAGGGAAUGAUCAUGGUAACAGAGGGCACUGCCUCUCAGGAUCGUGUGUGUGCCCAGACUUCCCCCACCUCUCCUACAACUACUGCACCUCCACCUGCUCAAAGCUCAAAGAUGUCCCUUCGUUCUGCUAUAUCCAGUGGUGUCGGCACCAACAGAGAACUCCUCAUCGCGAGAUCCGCAUCUCGACUGGUUUGGUCUCCUGAGGACGUUCUCAUCAGGUCCUCUCUGUCCCAAGCCAGGAGAGACCCCUCCAUCUCCCUCCCAACCAAGCUCACCACCAGGAGAAAGCCAUGCAAGGUGGACAGUGACACCUCACCUGCAGAGUCUGCCUCUGCACCCCCUCUUACCACAAAAGACAAUGACUCACCUCAUCUCCCAGUCCCAGCCUCUGGACAGAGCCCUCCCAGUCUCCCUUUGCUGCUGCUGAUAGUUGGGCUCCUAGGGGUCACUCUGCUGCUGAUUGGUUACUUUGUGGGGUGUAGGGGGAGGUCACUGGAGUCCAUGCACAAGUGGAAAGGUCCAAUAUUUGGGAAAUAUAUUUGUAAGGAAAGUCUGAGAGGGAGCUAUAAAGCGUGGGAGUGCCAGCCUUGUCCUGCUGCCCUACAGACGGCUUCCUAUAAGCAGGCCAAGCUGCCAAAGGAGAGAAUCCCACACCUGGAGGCCCAGCAUCUUCUGGGGAGGGAGACUGGGGGAGAUCCUAGACGGGAGGGUACAGGGUCACAACCUCCAGGGGGCAUGCAGAAUGUCUCAGUAGAUCCCUCUGGAGGUGAAAACAUUAGCAACAUAGUAGGGUCCAUAUACAUCUACUCUCCAGGGACGGUUGUCCUGGGAUCCAACAAAUCAGACAGGGAGGGGGAUCAAGGGGAGAGUGGAGGAGAGGGCUGUCCCCUCACCAGCAAGCCCCAGCAGGAGUCCUCCUACCCACUCCCUUGGGGCUCCGCUCUGGGGCCAGAGAGAAUGAUUACGCCGAAGGAUACCUGCAAAGAGCUGAGCUACCCCGUCCCAGCCACCAGCAAUUGA